rnacentral:rRNA from 1 species
UACGAAGGGGGCUAGCGUUGCUCGGAAUUACUGGGCGGAAAGCGCACGUAGGCGGAUUGUUAAGUCGGGGGUGAAAUCCUGGAGCUCAACUCCAGAACUGCCUUCGAUACUGGCGAUCUCGAGUUCGGGAGAGGUGAGUGGAGCUGCGAGUGUAGAGGUGAAAUUCGUAGAUAUUCGCAAGAACACCAGUGGCGAAGGCGGCUCACUGGCCCGAUACUGACGCUGAGGUGCGAAAGCGUGGGGAGCAAACAGG